rnacentral:rRNA from 1 species
AGCGCAACCCUCGUCGUGUGUUAUACGUGUCACACGAUACUGCCGGUAUCAAGCCGGAGGAAGGUGGGGAGUGAUGUCAAGUCAGCAUGGCCUUUAUAUCCUGGGCUACACACACGCUACAAUGGCAGAUACAAUAGGUUGCGAAACCGCGAGGUGGAGCCAAUCCUCAAAGUCUGUCUCAGUUCAGAUUGUAGGCUGCAACUCGCCUGCAUGAAGUUGGAGUUGCUAGUAAACGCAGGUCAGCUAUACUGCGUUGAAUACGUUCCCGGGGGUUU